GCCCUGGUGGCUCAGUGACUAAAGCACUUGGCUGAUAACCAAAAGGCUCAUGGUUCAAACCCAUCAGCUGCU
rnacentral:tRNA from 1 species